rnacentral:tRNA from 1 species
AUUUAUAUAGUUUAACAAAAACAUUACAUUUUCACUGUAAAAAUAAAAAUUUAUUUUUUUAUAGAUA